rnacentral:rRNA from 1 species
AUUGAACGCUGGCGGCAUGCUUUUCACAUGCAAGUCGAACGGUAACAGGCCGCAAGGUGCUGACGAGUGGCGAACGGGUGAGUAAUGCAUCGGAACGUGCCCAGUCGUGGGGGAUAACUGCUCGAAAGAGCAGCUAAUACCGCAUACGAUCUAUGGAGGAAAGCGGGGGACCGUAAGGCCUCGCGCGAUUGGAGCGGCCGAUGUCAGAUUAGGUAGUUGGUGGGGUAAAGGCUCACCAAGCCAACGAUCUGUAGCUGGUCUGAGAGGACGACCAGCCACACUGGGACUGAGACACGGCCCAGACUCCUACGGGAGGCAGCAGUGGGGAAUUUUGGACAAUGGGGGCAACCCUGAUCCAGCAAUGCCGCGUGCAGGAAGAAGGCCUUCGGGUUGUAAACUGCUUUUGUACGGAACGAAACGGUCUGGGUUAAUACCCUGGGCUAAUGACGGUACCGUAAGAAUAAGCACCGGCUAACUACGUGCCAGCCGCCGGUAA